rnacentral:lncRNA from 1 species
UUAUGAAUAUGAUGAGACUGGAGGAGCUGCUGAGAGGCAGUGACCUGUUCUGCAAGUUCUGUCUGUUCUGCAAGUUCUGUCUGUUCUGUCUGUUCUGUUUGUUCUGUCUGUUCUGGUUGUUCUGUCUGUUCUGUUUGUUCUAUCUGUUCUGUUUGUUCUGUCUGUACUGUUUUUUCUGUCUGUUCAGUCCCGUUCUGUUUGUUCACUCUGAUCUGUUUGUUCUGUCUGUUCUGUCUGUUCAGUCUGUUCUGUUUGUUCAGUCUGUUCAGUCUGUUCAGUCUGUUCAGUCUGUUCUGUUUGUUCUGCCUGUUCUGGUUGUUCCUGGCCUGUUCUGGGUUGUUCUGCCAGUGUCUGGUUCUGUAUGUUCUGGAUGUUCAUGUCAUGCUGUCGGGUUUAGUCUGUUUCACUCUGUUCUGUU